GGGGAAGUCUGCCCCACUAGUCUGGGAUACCACUUGGAAACAGGUGCUAAUACCGGAUAAGAAAGCAGAUCGCAUGAUCAGCUUUUAAAAGGCGGCGUAAGCUGUCGCUAUGGGAUGGCCCCGCGGUGCAUUAGCUAGUUGGUAAGGUAAAGGCUUACCAAGGCGAUGAUGCAUAGCCGAGUUGAGAGACUGAUCGGCCACAUUGGGACUGAGACACGGCCCAA
rnacentral:rRNA from 1 species